rnacentral:rRNA from 12 species
UGUGGUGGCUAACUGUCCUGCAAGUGCCCAAUCCUGCCAGAUCUCAGAAACUAAGUAGGGCCAAGCCUGGUAGGUCCACUUGGAUGACCAGAGUCUGCUUGACUCAUCCACAG